AACGAACGCUGGCGGCAGGCCUAACACAUGCAAGUCGAGCGCCCUUUCGGGGGAGCGGCGGACGGGUGAGUAACGCGUGGGAAUAUGCCCUUCUCUACGGAAUAGCCUCGGGAAACUGAGAGUAAUACCGUAUACGCCCUUUGGGGGAAAGAUUUAUCGGGGAAGGAUUAGCCCGCGUUGGAUUAGGUAGUUGGUGGGGUAAUGGCCUACCAAGCCGACGAUCCAUAGCUGGUUUGAGAGGAUGAUCAGCCACACUGGGACUGAGACACGGCCCAGACUCCUACGGGAGGCAGCAGUGGGGAAUCUUAGACAGUGGGGGCAACCCUGAUCUAGCCAUGCCGCGUGAGUGAUGAAGGCCUUAGGGUUGUAAAGCUCUUUCAGCUGGGAAGAUAAUGACGGUACCAGCAGAAGAAGCCCCGGCUAACUCCGUG
rnacentral:rRNA from 1 species